UGGUGACGUAUGCGUCACUUCCCAAAAGAUGGCGGCCGUAGUGGGCUUGUUACCGUGCUGCAGCUUUGGGCCCUAUUGUAGGAAGAGCUUUUGUCUCCGUACCAGCCUUGUCGGGUCUCUCGUGCGGCGGGACUCAUUGAGAUCCAAUGGUUCGACGGCGGUGUACGAUGUGGUGGUAUCAGGUGGUGGCAUGGUCGGGACCGCCAUGGCUGCUGCACUGGGGCAUGAUGUUCAUCUCUCUGAUAAGAAAAUUCUGCUACUUGAAGCUGGUCCAAAGAAAGUGGCUAAUCAAUUGCCUAAGAGUUAUAGUAAUAGGGUCAGUGCUAUUACACCUGGCUCAGCCACACUUCUUGGUAGCUUUGGUGCUUGGGAUCAUAUUUGCAAUAUGAGAGUCAAACCCUUUCGACGGAUGCAGGUGUGGGAUGCUUGUUCUGAAGCCAUGAUAAUCUUUGAUAAAGAUAACUUGGAAGAUAUGGGUUAUAUAGUGGAGAAUGAUGUUAUCUUGUCUGCUCUAACGAAACAAUUGGAAGCAGUUUCAGACCAAGUGGAAGUUCUCUACAGGAGCAGAGCAGUUGGGUACACCUGGUCCCUUCCUUAUCAGACCUCUGACUCAAGCCCUUGGAUUCACAUUGAUUUAGCAGAUGGACACAAAUUACAGACCAAACUGCUGAUUGGUGCGGAUGGGCAAAACUCUAUGGUCCGGAAGGCAGCUGGUAUUCAGAAUAUGCAGUAUCGGUAUGAGCAGUCAGCUGUAGUUGCUACCCUUCACUUAUCUGAGGCAACGGAUAACAAUGUAGCAUGGCAGAGAUUCCUCCCAUCGGGACCAAUUGCUCUCCUCCCGCUCUCUGACACUGUCAGCUCUUUGGUUUGGUCCACAUCCCAUGAACAUGCAUCCCAACUUCAAAACAUGGAGGAGGAAAGGUUUAUAGACUCUAUCAACUCUGCUUUUUGGAGCAACGCCAAUCAUUCUGACUUUAUUGAUACUGCUGGAUCCAUGUUCCGAUCUGCUGUUUCUCUCCUGAUGCCAUCGGGGACUGCAGCCCGUCAGCUGCCCCCAAGUGUUGCAAAAGUGGAUCCAAAGAGCCGAGCUGUAUUCCCUCUUGGACUGGGGCAUGCAACAGAAUAUGUCCAACACCGUGUGGCUCUUAUUGGGGAUGCAGCUCACAGAGUACAUCCUCUAGCAGGUCAGGGUGUGAAUAUGGGCUUUGGUGACAUUGCAUGCUUGAGCCAUCAUCUCAGUGCUGCUGCGUUCAAUGGGAGGGACCUAGGCUCUUUAAAGCAUCUACUACAGUAUGAGGAAGAGCGACAGAGACACAACCUGUCUCUCAUGGCUGCAAUUGACAUGUUGAAGAGGCUGUACUCUACAAGUAUGGCUCCUUUGGUGCUACUAAGGACAUGGGGAUUGCAAGCAACUAAUGCUGUGCCUCCAGUUAAAGAGCAGAUCAUGGCAUUUGCUAGUAAGUGAUAUUCUUGUGAAGCUAGAGUUACAGUUCCCUGAUGGUUGCUGUAUAUUCAUCAAUUAUAAAGACUGUAUUACAUUUGACAAGCACUCGAGCCAAUUCAAACUGGGAGGACAUUAACUACAACCACUGAAGCUACUCAUUAAAGAACAAUUACUGCAUAUUGUGGAGACUUUUUAAAAAUAAUAUGUUUGGACAAUUCCAAGCUAUGAGUCUAUGUUUGAGUUGUAUUUGACUUGAAGAAGAAACCAGGAACUGCAAAGACUUCUUGCAGUAACAAUAUCUUUUGUCUUGCUAAAACAAGUAAACUGUGGCUUUCCACCUCCUUUAUCAAUGUAUUUGGAAUGAAGUACCUGUACCACAAUCUAGUUAAUAAAAUGAGAACAUUCUGUUUAACCAAAGCU